AGUAUGUGUGUGUGUGUGUGUGUGUGUGUGUGUGUGUCUUUCUCUCUCCUCCUCCCUCUCUCUACACCCUCCUGGGUGCACGCGGGUGUGCACAUACACACACACACGCACACACGCCACAUACA